rnacentral:rRNA from 1 species
GACGGAGGAGGCUAGCGUUGUUCGGAAUUACUGGGCGUAAAGCGUACGCAGGUGGCGAAGCAAGUCGGAUGUGAAAGCCCGGGGCUCAACCCCGGAUGUGCAUCCGAUACUGUUUUGCUGGAGUCCGGAAGAGGAGAGCGGAAUUCCCAGUGUAGAGGUGAAAUUCGUAGAUAUUGGGAAGAACACCGGUGGCGAAGGCGGCUCUCUGGUCCGGUACUGACACUCAAGUACGAAAGCGUGGGGAGCAAAAGGG